rnacentral:lncRNA from 1 species
GAUCAUUUGCAAAUGUGAGUCACGGUGCCGGAGUAUUUUGCUUAAUAUUUUUUACGCAAUAAACUAAACCCAAUCUUGUGAUGAGAGUGUCAUUGCAAGCAGCUUAAAUAGUAUAACAAUGAAAAAUGAGGUGCAGGGGGCGAUAUGUUCAUAUGGGCAUGAAUCGAGGCGCCAGGGCAUUUUGCUUGAUAUUAGAACUAGAAGCAAAGGUUAGGUGCGCGCAUAAAGAAACAAAUGACGGAAGGGGAGAGUGA